CGUCCCUCUCGGUGGAUGGAACAACACGAAGCUUCUGGAUUUAUGUCGUUUUCCUUCUAAAUUUAUGUCAAUUACUCUGGGAGGAGAGGUGUAAUGCAGUAGAUGAAAUCAGGGGUAAAGAAUACAAACCCUCGUUGCAAUUUGGUUCCCACCAUCACGAUUUGAUUUUGGGUUUGCAGGUUGCUGUCGGUUUUGAUACCCAUUUAUCGCUGCUGUUGUCUCCAUUUCGAUAGCUUUUGUUCUUCACAAAUGGAUUCACUUGGGAGUGACGGCUCACCCGUUUCUCGGCCAGUCUUGCUACCUGACCGGAUCUUCGCAUCAAAUUGUUAUAGAAACCUUAAGUUCUGACUGAACAAUAUCCGGAAUGUAAAUUGCUCUUGGUCCAGGUAAACCGUUUGAAUACUUUUCUUUCAAGACUUCAGCUAUCAGUUUUGUAGAUGCUUGUUUCUCAUAUUGUGACCUAGCCGUUAUUGAGCAAGUGUGGGUUAGUCUUGCUAUUUUGAUUUCAAAAUUGCUUGAAUAAGGAGAGACUACAUGACCAAAUACUCUCCAUCGACAAUGAUGAUUAACACAAACACAGAUCAACCUCUUUGUAUAAGAAUCGGCUAGCUUGAAGUGGAACAAUCUCUUAUGGUAUAUAUAGCUAAGGUAUUCUGCAUAGCUAUCUUAUAUUUAAACACACGGCCAGUAUAUAUAGCAUCUUCUUCUGCAAAUUCUAUCGCACACCCACUGGAUCUUUUUACUUUCAUCAAAGCACUUGUUUAGCACUAGCGAACCAUCACAAGCUUUGUUGUCCUCAUCAAACACAACAUUACGAUGAUUUCUUGCAAUAGGCUCCCCUACUAUAGGUGAAAUAACAGUUGCUUCUUUAGUUGCAGUUGCAGCAACUACACCUUCACUGCCCCAACCAACCCCAAACUGAUGAUUAUUUCCAUUGUUGGUGUCAAGAACAUCUGAACCACCAGGUGGAAGUUGUCCUCAAAAGACAAAUUAGGUUCUCUUGCUCUUGUAGCGUAGGCUAGAACAGCCGAACCUAUGUCCUCUUCACCAACAGGCGCUUCAGAUACAUCUGCCAUUGUGGCUUUUCAGGGAUCUACAACCUCGAAGAAACUGUUUGAAAAUUCAAGAGGAUAUUGUUUGUCAAAUAUGGUAUCCCAGUCAUGAUUACCAACAUCCUCAUCUCACCAUGAGCUAACAACACCAUCAGUGAAACUAUCUUCACACUGAGUACCCACAUGAUCGUCUUCACUCUCCAAAAUUUUCUUUGUACCCUUGCAAUUAGCUCAUUCUUUCUCAUGUUUCUCAACUUCGUCUACUUGAUUUAGAAUUUAUUCAUCUUCAUUAGACAAAGAAUCUUCAGACAUCACAUUAAUUGGUGCACUGCUGUCCCUUGACUUGGGAGACAGCGAGGGAGAUAGUGAGGGUGUAGCAGCAUCAGCAAGACUUAUAAUCCCACUAGUAUU